rnacentral:misc_RNA from 1 species
CACAACAAAAAUAUGAGGGUGUGGUUUUGCUGGCAACAGCGUCCGCCCCAAGUAUUUUUCACCCAUGUCUUUUUGCGCACUUUUUGUUUCCUGGGCGAGUUCGCUCGCCACCAGGACCCAACCAAUAAACCUUUUUUUAUGCAGUUGCAAUCAGCGCCAGUAUAAUAAUUCAAUUUAUUA